GACUUCGUGGUCGAAUGGUAAGGACAUUUACCUCUCACCAUAGAGCCCCGGGUUCAAUCCUCGGUCGAGGAGCUAGGCA